AACGAACGCUGGCGGCGCGCCUAAUACAUGCAAGUCGAGCGAGAAGACGUAGCAAUACGUUUGUAAAGCGGCGAACGGGUGAGGAAUACAUGGGUAACCUACCCUCGAGUGGGGAAUAACUAGCCGAAAGGUUAGCUAAUACCGCGUACGCUCCUUGGACUUCGGUUCAGGGAGGAAAGCGAUACCGUGGGUAUCGCGCUCUUGGAUGGGCUCAUGUCCUAUCAGCUUGUUGGUGAGGUAACGGCUCACCAAGGCUUCGACGGGUAGCUGGUCUGAGAGGACGAUCAGCCACACUGGCACUGCGACACGGGCCAGACUCCUACGGGAGGCAGCAGUGAGGAAUAUUGCGCAAUGGGCGAAAGCCUGACGCAGCGACGCCGCGUGGGGGAUGAAGGUCUUCGGAUUGUAAACCCCUUU
rnacentral:rRNA from 1 species